GAUGAACGCUGGCGGCGUGCCUAAUACAUGCAAGUCGAGCGAACGGACGAGAAGCUUGCUUCUCUGAUGUUAGCGGCGGACGGGUGAGUAACACGUGGAUAACCUACCUAUAAGACUGGGAUAACUUCGGGAAACCGGAACUAAUACCGGAUAAUAUUUUGAACCGCAUGGUUCAAAAGUGAAAGACGGUCUUGCUGUCACUUAUAGAUGGAUCCGCGCUGCAUUAGCUAGUUGGUAAGGUAACGGCUUACCAAGGCAACGAUGCAUAGCCGACCUGAGAGGGUGAUCGGACACACUGGAACUGAGACACGGUCCAGACUCCUACGGGAGGCAGCAGUAGGGAAUCUUCCGCAAUGGGCGAAAGCCUGACGGAGCAACGCCGCGUGAGUGAUGAAGGUCUUCGGAUCGUAACACUCUGUUAUUAGGGAAGAACAUAUGUGUAAGUAACUGUGCACAUCUUGACGGUACCUAAUCAGAAAGCCACGGCUAACUACGUG
rnacentral:rRNA from 1 species